CGUCGAAAGUUGAUGCUUUUGCGUUGACAGUACCGGUACGGGUGUUAAUUUUCGGAGAAAUAUGAAGGUUGUAGACUAAACAGUGUUUCGGCUUGCAUUACAAUAGAAAGACUACACCUUUCUGAAUCUAUCGACACCAUUAUUAUGCGUGUGUGGUUCAUACUAGGAUCAUAAACCAGAAUUGAACAUAGCCCGUACAUUCACAGGAAGAUACAGCUUGUUUGUUUGCAAGUCUGGAUUAACAGAAUCAGUUUGAGCAGUACCAUACUUAUCAACAAUCCAAACACUAUCUGGUUCUGGCCUAAGCGGUUUAUUCAAUUUGGAAUUGCAAUCAACACAUUUAAAGGGUGGUGUAAUCGUCGUCUCUUGCUUGUAACUGAUGUCACGUGUUUCAGUAAAGUUAAAAAAAUGUCAAACCCAGCUUUGGCUGUUCAUUAAUAACUUUUUGUGAAUAAAUAGCGAAAGGUUACAAUAUAUACCUUAAACUGAUAUCGACUCGAUAUACUUUGCAAUUUUGUUUUUAAGAAUUGGACUCAUUGUUUAACAAAUAAGAUGAGUAGAAAUCGUGCAAAAUUUUUACCGAGUGAAAUACGAUUUUCGCAUGACGAUAUCAAGCACGAAUUUAAAGAUGGCACUUCGAUUCAAUAUACGCUGAAGCAAUUGAAAACCGGAGCUAUUACCAUCGAUGACAUACCUAAAAUAAAAAUUGUAAAAAGGGACGGUCUAAAAUUUUCAGUGAACAAUCGGCGCCUGUGGGUAUUUAAGAGGUAUGAAGAGUUCCUCAGAAGUCGUGGAGAAACCAUUGCUAUUCCAGUAACAUAUGGAGCACACACAAACUUGACAGAUUACAGACUGUCCACUCGUAACGAGGGUAUGUCUGUAAAAAUUAGACUUCGUGAAAAGUCUGACAAAAGAAUUCGUCUUAGGUCAUCGGAUAUUCGUUACUCCAGUGAUGCAAUAUAUUUCAGUGAUAGAAAAGAUGGGUCAUUGUCCGAUAUAUUAGAAACUCUUGAAAGCGGUUUCUAUAAGAUAAACACUCUGCCAAAAGUAACUGUUGUACAGAAAAAGGGAAUUUUCUAUGCUAUAAGUAAUGAGAGAGUGCUUUGGGCUAUUAAGCAAUAUUCUUAGAAACACGCUAGGGAUAUAACAUUGACAUGUAGUCUUGGAAGAUAUUCAGAUUUAAGACCUACUUCGUUUACAACAAAAACAGAUGGAUUAUCUGUACGCGUUCUGUCAGGCUAUCCAGAGGAGAAAAGAAAAAUAAAGCAGGAUAAAUGCUUGGAUGAUUCUAUUCCUGAUGUACAGAACCUUUAUGAUUACGCUGUUACAAGUGGUGCAUUGUCGAGUGCCUGGAUGUUUGACAGUAAGAUACUUAACACCAUGGGGCAUUUCCUUUCAAGCAAAAGUUUUAUAUCUGAAAUUCAAAUUUCUGGUCGUUUCAAAUCCAUAUGUAUUUAAUUGUUACCAUACCAGCAGUUUAUAAACCGACCAUAAAUUGGAUUAACUUCGUAUGAAAUAUGAAACCUUGCUGACUGAAAUGUUCCCCUUUUGGACUGAAACGCAUAUAUGAUUUAUGGUGUUAAUGCAUCAUUUAAAGUUCACAUUGUAUAUGUUUGUAAAUUAUUGGCUAUAUACACCUUUCAGCAUGUUCAGGUGUUUAAUGCUGAAUAAAAUGUUGUUGUUGUUGUUGUUGUUGAUUUAAAUGUCAAUUUUACUGAAUGUUACAACUAGCUUUUGUUAUACUUCAAAAUAACCUUUUUAAAAAUAAAGUUUAAAUAUG
rnacentral:lncRNA from 1 species